UACGUAGGGUGCAAGCGUUAAUCGGAAUUCCUGGGCGUAAAGCGUGCGCAGGCGGUGAUGUAAGACAGGUGUGAAAUCCCCGGGCUUAACCUGGGAAUUGCGCUUGAAACUAGCGGGCUUGAGUGUGGCAGAGGGGGGUGGAAUUCCACGUGUAGCAGUGAAAUGCGUAGAGAUGUGGAGGAACACCGAUGGCGAAGGCAGCCCCCUGGGUCAACACUGACGCUCAUGCACGAAAGCGUGGGGAGCAAACAGG
rnacentral:rRNA from 1 species